GCCCAGCUGUGUUGGUAGCAGCAUUUCAAUGGUGCUUCCUAACUGAGGUGGACUCCGAGAACCUUCUGUCAUCCUUGUGCAAAUCCAAAGGUGAGGUACUGCCGGUUUGCAAUAGCGCCUUUGUUUUUAAUUGGUAAUCUUACCAUUUUAUCCGUAUUUCACUUAAUGGAUUCAGGAAUAUAUGCCUCUACUCUCUGGGAAAUAAGAUCAGCAGGAAAAACCUAAAUCAGUCCAUUUGUCUGUCAUGCAUUAAGCAAAUGGUGCUGACAGUAGGAAAUGCACAGCACUUGACGUGCAUUUGGUAACUGCUUGGACGUAGCUAACUUAGACAUUGAGUGUGGUCAGCAUUUUAUAGUGCUGACAGGAUCCUGACAGAUAGUCGUAGUGAACUCAGAUGAGAAUAAAUGAAUAUAAAAAGAGUAUAAUUAUAUUUUUAUGUGGAUACAUGUGUGCAUUAGUGAAGAUUUCAAAAAACUACUGUCAUAGGCUUAUGUAUUAUUUAAGCAACUCUUUGAGGUGUGAAUAAUUUUUAAACUAUUUUAAUAAUACAGUAUUUUUUAGGAUGAUACUUCAGACUUUGAAGGUAUCUGUAUCGGGAUAGAGGAGCUAUGCAGGCCUCCUGGAAUGUCAUUGCUCUUGCCACUGCUGUCCCCUUUGUAGCAGGAGACAAGCAUCUGUCCCCAAACUGACCGGCAGCUUGGCAAACUGGGCCACAAAGAGAUCACUAGGAACUGCCAGGAAUUAUGUGAAUCCCUGGAGAACUGGGGCGAUGUGAGAUAAUAAAUGAGGGAAAGGACUAGCGUGACCAGAGGGAGAAAUCCAAAGCUUGGUGACACCUGGCGACCGGCCGGCCAGAACAGYGUGCCUGCUAAUUAAUGGUGGCGAGUACAGGUUUUAUAUCCCGCCUGGGAUAUGACAGAGCGAGGAAAAUGGCCAUCGAAGAAGACAGACUGACGACAAAUGAAGUCUUGGAAGGAAAUACUAGGGGCAGUCACAUAAAAUGGUCCUUCAAGCUGUUCCAGCUCUUCCUACUGCUCCAUUACCUGAGGAGAAGAAAAACCUGUGUCAAAAUUCCUUAACCGAUCGCGCUGCCUUCCCAGUGCUCAUUUAGAAACUGCCUUGUGUGUCCAGUGCACUCGCAGCUGGGCCAGGAGCAAGCCCAGGCUUCUGCAGCACUUCUGCGCUCUGCUCCGGCCUUGCCUCUUCCCGUGCCGGCUGUGCCACGCUCGGCUCUUGCAUCCGGCCCCGCAGGUGGGCUGAGCUCUCCGAGGCCAGAGCCAGCUCAGCGCCGCAGGUCGGCAYGCGGCGUCGCGUUCCGGCGCUUGCCGCUGCCCUGACCGAGAGCACAAAGAGUCGCCAUCGCGUGGAAAAGUCGUUGGGACCACUGCCGAGAGUAGCCUGGGACAUUUAGAUGUUACACAGAACCUGUCUGUCUGUCCAUGGGAAAAGGAAAUGAAAAGAGUCUAACGGCAGGGCGAUAUUGCCUGUGACUGAUUGUGCCCACUGUAUAGUGUCUGUGCAGAACCUUGAGCAACAGAUGACUAAGUAUCAUCUGAUUCUGUUACUGAAAAGUAGAGGAAUGUAUGUGCUUCCCUAAGUAAAGGAGAUGAUGAAAUUUGGGCAACAUACUCAGAAAGAACUCUAUUUCAAAACUCCUUUUUCAUUUUCAAGUCAAAGGAAUGACUUCUAACAACUUCAGCAAGGGUUGGAAUAAGCCAAAAAUGAUAAGAAAGAACAACCUUUUGCAGCUAAAGUUGGAGUUACAAUAGUGAGAUAGUGAUAGAAACUGCUGGAGUUUUAUUGUGCAUGUUUUGAAUGUGAAGUUGUGGGGCUGGCAGAAGAUUCCUACUGUCUUUAACAAGAAUUAAGUAUCUCUUUGAACUUAAACAUGUACCCAGUUGUACUCUGUAUUUAGAAAGUGAGCAUUGCUCCUAACAACUUUUUUUUUAAUUGAUUUUUUUUAAUGUAAAUUGUCUCCCAGCAUGAUCUAGUGUGAGGCAAAUCAAUACAGAGCUAUGAAAAGUAGCACUGAUUCGCAGCAGAAAUACUGACUCCAGAGUCAGAGAGCUUUUACUUGCC
rnacentral:lncRNA from 1 species